GAGAGCCGUGUGCGCCGAGAGGUGCAAGCACGGUUCGGAGGCGAGUUCUUGGAAACCUACCGUAGAAAUACGGCAAGGCACCGGGUUCUUAGCCUAC
rfam:Alistipes sp. CAG:29 genomic scaffold, scf51